AUAAGCUGAACACUGUAUACAAACAAUCAACUAAAGCCGACGACAGUUUUCUAUUCUCGUUGCGUAUAAUUCCAACUUCGGUGUUACGUACAACAUUUAACCGAUUGGCGACUGAGAUAACGCAGUCAACAUCUUCCAUCCUUUUUCACUGGAAUACGGAAAGAAAAGGAAGCUCGUAAAGCUGUGUGGUCCAGAUAUCAGCAACCGCGAAAUUCCUGGAUUGCCCGGAAUCCCCGUGUGUUUAGUGCUUUGGCAUUAACUACUGGUUUAUUAAUUUUUUUCAGUAAACCUCUGUAUGACACCAUAGUCACACCUUCAUACAAAGCCUUAGAAAAACCAA
rnacentral:lncRNA from 1 species